rnacentral:rRNA from 1 species
GUGCCAGCAGCCGCGGUAAUUCCAUGUCUCCAAUAGCGUAUAUUAAAGUUGUUGUGGUUAAAAAGCUCGUAGUUGAACCUUGGGCCUGGCUGGCCGGUCCGCCUCACCGCGUGCACUGGUCCGGCCGGGCCUUUCCCUCUGUGGAACCCCAUACCCUUCACUGGGCGUGGCGGGGAAACAGGACAUUUACUUUGAAAAAAUUAGAGUGCUCCAGGCAGGCCUAUGCUCGAAUACAUUAGCAUGGAAUAAUAAAAUAGGACGCGCGGUUCUAUUUUGUUGGUUUAUAGGACCGCCGUAAUGAUUAAUAGGGACAGUCGGGGGCAUCAGUAUUCAACUGUCAGAGGUGAAAUUCUUGGAUCAGUUGAAGACUAACUACUGCGAAAGCAUUUGCCAAGGAUGUUUUCAUUAAUCAGGAACGAAAGUUAGGGGAUCGAAGACGAUCAGAUACCGUCGUAGUCUUAACCAUAAACUAUGCCGACUAGGGAUCGGACGGUGUUAUUCAUGACCCGUUCGGCACCUUACGAGAAAUCAAAGUGCUUGGGCUCCAGGGGGAGUAUGGUCGCAAGGCUGAAACUUAAAGAAAUUGACGGAAGGGCACCACCAGGGGUGAGCCUGCGGCUUAAUUUGACUCAACACGGGGAAACUCACCAGGUCCAGACACAAUAAGGAUUGACAGAUUGAGAGCUCUUUCUUGAUUUUGUGGGUGGUGGUGCAUGGCCGUUCUUAGUUGGUGGGGUGACUUGUCUGCUUAAUUGCGAUAACGAACGAGACC